GGUUGCAUGGCCUAGUGGUUAUGGUGCUUUCUCUCUGAUUUCCUCGGUUUUGGAGAGGUCACUCGUUCGAGUCCCCUGGUUGGCACUU